ensembl:lncRNA
AAUAUUAUGCUGGGUUGGCACCAUACAAAGAUGACUUUGAAAAUGUAGGCUUAUUUAUAUGAGCGUCAUUCAUGGAUUAGGCUGUGUACUGUCGAUUGUGCAAUAGUUAUGACAAGUAAAAGGAUUAGUGUGCGUGGUUGUUUCAAAUUGUAAUAACAAGAAACAAGUGUUGCUAGUCCAACAUUCUGCUAGUGAAUGCAGUGCAGAAUGUUGUUUUCCAAGACGGUCACAUAAUUUUUAAAGUAUUUGUGUUAGAAACAUUUAUACAAAACUGAAAUCACUGUGUAUACUUUAACUCCAUUAUUAGGACACAGUUCUGGAUGGAUUUAUUCAGUGACCUGAGAGAGAGACAUUACUUCAACGGCACCCAUGAACACAAGUGCCUUGUACGGUAUGUGUUCCUGGGCAUCUUUCAGAAAGAGCUUGAUGAGCACCGAGAGCUUUGGAAUAACCAUACAAUCAGGCCUGUCCGUCAGUCUCUCUGUCCAUCUGGGAAACCGGAGACCAUGUACCACCUGCCUCACAGGUUUGGUGGAAGGGAUUGUGGAUUCCCAGUGGAUCCCCAAGUGUUACAGGAGUUCAAAGACCUUCUGCCACCCACAAACAGUUUGUGUGGAGAUGCUAACCUCCAAGCAUAUUUUGCCAACUUGGAGAGACAGAGCCAGCUCGCUCCACCCAUCAACUGGCCAGCUGCUGUUGGCAACUACAUUAGACUUAAGGAAAUGGCUGGUCUUUGAGAGAGACAGAGAGAGGACUGACUGACUGACGUGUAGCCAGUUUAUUUUCUUUCAGACAGCAUUGCCUCCAGUGUGGUGUACUGAUAUGGACACCUUUAAUGUUUGACACAUGGUUAAAUUAAAAGCAAAGAUAUUAAUCGAUUGCAAUGACUUUCCCUUACUUUUUAAACCAUCACAAUGUAUGUUUUUGGGGUUAACCUAGUGUUGAUUAAUACGGUAUGCUGAAGCUAAAGGUGACUUUCAUGUUAGAUCGGUAACAUUUCAUGACCAAUUUAUGGAACAACAAAUAAACUUCAUUCUGACGGCCCUUGCA